AGCUUUGCGCAGUGGCAGUAUCGUAGCCAAUGAGGUUUAUCCGAGGUGCGAUUAUUGCUAAUUGAAUAUGAAGACAGAUUUCAAGUAAAGAGACAGAGAAAUAUCUACUAUGUUAACACUGAC
rnacentral:snRNA from 1 species